AAAGAUAAAAAAUGCAAAAAAUUGUGAUAUUAAUUGCAGGAUAAGGUAAGCAAUCAAGGAAGGAAGCUGGUGAGAGCAGACAACAAACUCUCAUUUCUCCUAGUCUAUAAGAACUUCAUGAGAUUAGAGCAUGUUGUUGUCUUUACAGUUCCCCGAUGUAGCGGAAACGUGAUUAGGGAUAGUCUCGCUUCCUGAAUGG
rnacentral:lncRNA from 1 species